GUUACAUUUAAGCUAUUAUCACGUUAACAGUCAUACUGAGCUGACCAAUUUUGUUUCCUUCAAACCUGCACAAAGCUCUAAAGAUGGGCGUAUUGCCGACAGAUGAAACAAAGAACGUUUAUUUUGCGUCCUUUGAAAUAGCCAUUAAUAUUAUGUUAAUUGUGAAAAAUUACGCAGAUAUUAAUCACUAUUCGGAAUUCCAAACAAUAAGUAACUCAGACGAUCCAAAUAUUUUACAUUACCAAUUAACAUGGAAAAAUAAAUUGAAUUUCAUAUACGCUGUAAAAGGUCUUAUCAUAGGCCUAACAGUGGCAAUUAUUGUGUUUAAUGGGAUUUUGCUAAUUGGUAUAAUAAGGAAAAAGCUAAUUUUGAUUGACGUCUACUGCUUUGCUACACUAGCUUUUAUCAUUUCCCGUACGAUAUUAUAUGUAUUCGAAUUCGCACUUGUUGAGGCCUUGAAUAUGUACUCAGCAGUCUACCUUCUGAACAUUAUCUUUGUAUUACUCGACUUUAUGCUUUUUUUCGUCUUUACCGCAAUAAAUAAUUCCUGGGGAAAACCCGGAGAAUAUGCUACUUGGAACAUUUUAGAAUAAAUAAAUAUAGAAAAGUACUGUUUUUCUCUUCAAUUUGUUUUUCUCCAUUGACACCAGUUACUCAUCAACACCAUUUUUAAAGAACAGAGGUCAAACGGUCCAGGCCAAAAGUCAACAUCAGGCGAAAGGCUCAGUUGAUGUCAAGUCAUACCACCCAUAGACACUCAAUGCCAGAGGGCUAGCGUGUGCGUUGUCGUCCUUUUCAGAAUUGGUGCAUUCUUUUCUAGAAGGACCCUAAGUCGAGUUGUAAAGAAUUCUGUGGGCAGCUGGUUUCACAUAGUAGUAUUGCACAGCAACAACUGCCUUAAAAAUUUCUAAAUUGUGAAACGCUAUUUAUUUUAGAACCUAAUUAGGCUUCAGUUCAAUGGGUACAUAUAUUAUUGUGUCGGCAUGGUUUUGGCGUCAUUGAUCGAAAAUCCAGACAUCUCGACGCCUGGGCAACCCAAAGAGCAAAAACGUAGAUAUGGUAACAAACUUUAGAUCGAUUUAGAAAUGAAAUAAAAAAUUUGGCGUGUGACUGUCCUCUCUGAGAUUGUAUGUUCGAUCCUCGCUGUAUCGUGAUGAACUUUUUAUCUAUUAACACAUUUCAAAAUCAUUCAUACAGUGAAGGAUAACGUCGUGAGGAAACCAUCUGUGCUUUAGUACCAUAAAGACGACAUGUGCGUAGACAGCUACUCGCUUGUUUGAUAAAUUUAAUGACCGCGAAACACAUGAAAAAAGGCCUAAAAAGGGUUGUAUCGCAACUGUUUUUUGAAGUUAUAUAAAUAUAAUAAAUUCCAAUUUAUUCAUCCAAGGUUUCAUAUUAUGUAUGUGACAUAAGAUGUUAUUAAACGAUUUACCAAAUAAUAAUAAUAAUAAAGAUAUUGUUACCUCCGUUCCUUUGUGGACGAUACUGCAAAGCGGUUUGAGUAAAAGCUGCA